rnacentral:rRNA from 1 species
GCGCACCAGGCGCGAAUACUUUACAAUGUGCGAAAGCACGAUAAGGGAACUCUGAGUGCCUCCUACGGAGGCUGUUCAGGUGCCUAAAACACACCUGAAGGAAGGGCUGGGUAAGACCGGUGCCAGCCGCCGCGGUAACACCGGCAGCCCAAGUGGUAGCCACUUUUAUUGGGUCUAAAGCGUCCGUAGCCGGCCAGGUAAGUUCCGUGGGAAAUUUUGGCCGCUUAACGGUCAAACUACCAGGGAAUACUGCCUGGCUUGGGACCGGGAGAGGGCAGAGGUACUCCAGGGGUAGGGGUGAAAUCCAUUAAUCCCUGGGGGACCAUCGGUAGCGAAGGCGUCUGUCCAGACCAGGUCCGACGGUGAAGGACGAAGGCUAGGGGCGCGAACCGGAUUAGAUACCCGUGUAGU